CGCGUAGGCGGUCUUUUAAGUCAGGUGUGAAAGCCCCGGGGCUCAACCCCGGAAGUGCACUUGAAACUAAGAGACUUGAGUAUGGGAGAGGGAAGUGGAAUUCCUGGUGUAGCGGUGAAAUGCGUAGAUAUCAGGAGGAACAUCGGUGGCGAAGGCGACUUCCUGGACCAAUACUGACGCUGAGGCGCGAAGGCGUGGGGAGCAAACA
rnacentral:rRNA from 1 species